rnacentral:rRNA from 2 species
UUGUUGGAGAGUUUGAUCCUGGCUCAGGACGAACGCUGGCGGCGUGCUUAACACAUGCAAGUCGAGCGGAAAGGCCCUUCGGGGUACUCGAGC